UAAAGAUUCAUCGCUGAUAGAUAGGCAUGCGUUCCAUUAGGCAGUUGGCGGGGUAACGGCCCACCAAACCGACGAUGGAUAGGGGUUCUGAGAGGAAGGUCCCCCACAUUGGUACUGAGACACGGACCAAACUCCUACGGGAGGCAGCAGUGAGGAAUAUUGGUCAAUGGGCGUAAGCCUGAACCAGCCAAGUCGCGUGAGGGAUGAAGGUCCUAUGGAUCGUAAACCUCUUUUAUAAGGGAAUAAAGUGUGGGACGUGUCCUGUUUUGUAUGUACCUUAUGAAUAAGGAUCGGCUAACUCCGUGCCAGCAGCCGCGGUAAUACGGAGGAUCCGAGCGUUAUCCGGAUUUAUUGGGUUUAAAGGGUGCGUAGGCGGCCUUUUAAGUCAGCGGUGAAAGUCUGUGGCUCGACCAUAGAAUUGCCGUUGAAACUGGGAGGCUUGAGUAUGUUUGAGGCAGGCGGAAUGCGUGGUGUAGCGGUGAAAUGCUUAGAUAUCACGCAGGACCCCGAUUGCGAAGGCAGCCUGCCAAGCCAUGACUGACGCUGAUGCACGAAAGCGUGGGGAUCAAACAGGAUUAGAUACCCUGGUAGUCCACGCAGUA
rnacentral:rRNA from 1 species